rnacentral:rRNA from 1 species
GACGAACGCUGGCGGCGUGCUUAACACAUGCAAGUCGAACGAAGUGGCGAACGGGUGAGUAACGCGUAAUCAACCUGCCCUUCAGAGGGGGACAACAGUUGGAAACGACUGCUAAUACCGCAUACGGAAGGCGGGGAUUGCGUUUGAUUAGCUAGUUGGGGGGGUAACGGCACACCAAGGCGAUGAACAGUAGCAUGGCUGAUGAGGUGAGCGGCCACAUUGGGACUGAGAAACGGCCCAUACUCCUACGGGAGGAAGCAGUUGGGAAUCUUCCGCAAUGGACGGAAGUCUGACGGAGCAACGCCGCGUGAGUGAUGACGGCCUUCGGGUUGUAAAGCUCUGUUAAUCGGGACGCGGUACCGGAAUAGAAAGCCACGGCUAACUACGUGCCAGCAGCCGCGGUAAUAC